AUCCAGGAGGCCUUGGGCCUGAGUUCUCCUUAGAACAGCAAAGGCAGUGCCCACCCUCUCACCUUGCCAAUCUCUCUCCCUAAGGUGUGCUGACACCCUCAAAGACAGGGUCUGUUAGGCAUCUUAAGAGCGGAGAGGAUCCCAGCCACUUCCACCCACCUUGUCCUCCCUAAGGAGGCCUCAGCCCCAUGAGACAAGGAACCACACUGCUGCUGUCUCAACCCCAGGGUACUAGGAAGGGAGGGUGCUGACUCGGCCCCCACCCACUCAGGUGCAUGCCUGGCAGACUCUCAGUGUCUUGCAGAUUGUCGAAGGCCGCUAUCCUGGGUGGUGAUGGACCUGCCACAGGAGAACUUGGAGGAGGACACCCCGGGAGCCAGCCUAUGGCCCACCACUGUCACCCUGCUCACACUCUUCCUGCUCAGCCUCUUCUACAGUACAGCACUGACCGUGACCAGCGUCCGGGGCCCACCUGGCAGCCGAGAGGGGCCCCAGUACUGAGCAGGAGCCAACCAGGUCCAGGGAGGAGCAUGGAAGAGCCUUCUCAAGCCCAGUGGGAUCCCAAGCUCAGCACAUUUUGGAAGCCAGCCACCCAUACCCACGCAGUCAUCCUAGUACAAUAAACUCAUACAAAUG